rnacentral:rRNA from 1 species
CCCUUAGAUGUUCUGGGCCGCACGCGCGCUACACUGAUGAAUUCAACGAGCACUAACCUGUGCAGAAAUGUUCGGGUAAUCUUGUGAAAUUUCAUCGUGAUGGGGAUUGAUUAUUGCAAUUAUUAAUCAUAAACGAGGAAUGCCUAGUAAGCGUGAGUCAUCAGCUCACGUUGAUUACGUCCCUGUCCUUUGUACACACCGCCCGUCGCUCCUACCGAUUGAAUGUGCUGGUGAAAAGUUCGGAUUGGGAAUAGGAGACGGCAACGUAUCCUGUUUCUGAGAAAAUCUUUAAACCCUCCCAUUUAGAGGAAGGAGAAGUCGUAACA